GAGUGAACGCUGGCGGUAGGCCUAACACAUGCAAGUCAAACGGCAGCACAGUAAGAGCUUGCUCUUACGGGUGGCGAGUGGCGGACGGGUAAGGAAUUCAUCGGAAUCUACUUUUUCGUGGGGGUUAACGUAGGGAAACUUACGCUAAUACCGCAUACGACCUGCGUGUGAAAGCAGGGGAUCUUCGGACCGUGCGCGAUGGACUGAGCCGAUGUCGGCUUAGCUGGUUGGCGGGGUAAUGGCCAAGCAAGGCGACGAUCCGUAGCUGGUCGGUUGGACGGAUCGGCGACACGGGAACGGAGACACGGUCCAGACGCCUACGGGAGGCAGCAGUGGGGUAUAUUGGACAAAGGGCGGAAGCCUUAUCCAGCCAGACCGCGUGUGUGAAGGAAGCGCUCGGGUUGUAAAGCCCGUUUUUUGGUAGAGAAAAGCAGCAGGUUAAGACCCCGCUGGACUGACGGUACCCAAAGAAGAAGCACCGGCUAACUUCGUG
rnacentral:rRNA from 1 species